CCUACGGGAGGCAGCAGUGAGGAAUAUUGGUCAAUGGGCGUAAGCCUGAACCAGCCAAGUCGCGUGAGGGAUGAAGGUUCUAUGGAUUGUAAACCUCUUUUAUAAGGGAAUAAAGUGCGGGACGUGUCCCGUUUUGUAUGUACCUUAUGAAUAAGGAUCGGCUAACUCCGUGCCAGCAGCCGCGGUAAUACGGAGGAUCCGAGCGUUAUCCGGAUUUAUUGGGGUUAAAGGGUGCGUAGGCGGAUUUUUAAGUCAGCGGUAAAAUGUUCGGGAUCAACCCGGGCCGGCCGUUGAAACUGGGGAUCUUGAGUGGGCGAGAAGUAUGCGGAAUGCGUGGUGUAGCGGUGAAAUGCAUAGAUAUCACGCAGAACUCCGAUUGCGAAGGCAGCAUACCGGCGCCCGACUGACGCUGAGGCACGAAAGCGUGGGGAUCGAACAGGAUUAGAUACCCUAGUAGUC
rnacentral:rRNA from 1 species